UUUUAAAUGAAGACCCGUAUGAAUGGCAAACAAGGGCUUAACUGUCUCCUUUCUCCCGUCAAUGAAAUUGAUCUUCCCGUGCAGAAGCGGGAAUACACCCAUAAGACGAGAAGACCCUAUGGAGCUUCAGGCACNCNGAACAGACUUGNNNNUCAAGCANCCUACACNNNAAANAGACAAACUUUAGACCCUGCUCCACAUGCCUUUGGUUGGGGCNACCACGGNGAAACAAAAAACCCCCUGCAGACUGGGAGCACNAACCCNNCUCCUACAACCCAGAGUUACACUCUAAGAACAGAACCUCUGACUANNAAAGAUNCCGGCUAUUCAAGCCGAUCAACGGACCGAGUUACCCUAGGGAUAACAGCGCAAUCCCCUUCUAGAGCCCAUAUCGACAAGGG
rnacentral:rRNA from 1 species